GUUGGUGUAAGGGAUGAAUCACACUUUGCAGUCGGAUUGCCAGAAAUGGUGUCGACUGUCCAUGAGGCGAACAAUCGGUAGCGAGAUACAGAUCCGGAGAGAUCUGGGUCUUCUAUCUCAACAUUUGGUUGUUUAACCUCACUCCACGACACAUGGAGUCCUAUUUGUUUGGUUUGGUUAACUAGGUGUCCCCACGACUCAUGCGACAUUCAGUCGUUUUGG
rnacentral:lncRNA from 1 species